AUUGGGCCGUUAUGCUGCUACUUGCAAACUAACGAGUCCUCACGCGGAAAGACACAAAGCUUAAACUCUUCAAGGGUUAGGAAACCUGACAUAGUGGACGGAGGGUAGUCCACCCACCGCCAGCCUCUCUAUCUGCCUUGGAGUAGAGGCGUGGCUAUUACGCCUCUACGCUAUAGCCAUUGAUACUCAAAUAGGUUCCUCCCCCGAACACCCCCGGCAAGUGAACGCUCUUCAUUUAAGGCUGCAUUCAUUAUGCCCUCUUAAUUCGAAAACAGACCUGAUAAGAUGGUAUCUGCAGGAGGCCCUCACCUGGAGACAGCAGUGAUCGACUGGGUAUAUAAGAGGAAGUGCUCCAGAAUGUGAGCCUUGGUAUGAAGAGCCUUGCAUCUGCACUGCUGGAAGCAGAUACAUGGGCCAUACAUGUCCAUCGAAGUACCCAGAGCCUCAAAGCCCUGCGCUAAAGCCUCUGCUGCUGCGCUGCCGCGCCUCUCAGCUGAUCACGAGCGCGCCUCCCAGCUGAUUUGUGGUGGCGCGAUCACGUCCAUUUCCACCCCUGCACUCUAAAGCCUCUGCUGCUGCGCUGCCACACCUCCCAGCUGAUUGCGAUCGCGCCUCCCAGCUGAUUUGUGGUGGCGCGAUCGCGUCUAUUUCCACCCCCACGCGCUAAAGCCUCUGCUGCGUUUCUGGAGAAAUACAGGCAUAUGGAGCAUGUACGUUAUAGAGAGGCGACGUUAAGUGAAGUGACAUUAAGCAGGGUAUGCCUGUAUGUAUAAAUAUAGGUUCUACUGUUUUCCUGUAUGUCUUAGUUUGAAGUACAUGUGGUUUAAGAACUGAAGCACAAGACUGAAGUCCUAUACAGAUCUACUUUGGACUAAGCCCCACUGAAUUCACAAGAAGUGUUACUGGAGUAUGCACACAGUGCUGGGCCAUGGCCAAUUCUAAAGGGCAGCCAGGUGGGGCACUGGCCGCGGGCUCCUGCGCUCCCCUUCCGCAAUCCACUGCAGGAUUGCUGCUGCGGAAAGCAGGGCAGGAGCUUCAGAGCCGCCUGUCAUUUCCCCGCUUCACCUACCUUUCUCUGCUGUUUUUUGCAGCUGCAUGCACUGCACAUGCAGA